rnacentral:rRNA from 1 species
GAGGAAUAUUGGUCAAUGGGGGCAACCCUGAACCAGCCAAGUCGCGUGAAGGAUGAAGGUCUUAUGGAUUGUAAACUUCUUUUACACGGGAAUAAAGUGGGGGACGUGUCCCCCUUUGCAUGUACCGUGUGAAUAAGGAUCGGCUAACUCCGUGCCAGCAGCCGCGGUAAUACGGAGGAUCCGAGCGUUAUCCGGAUUUAUUGGGUUUAAAGGGUGCGCAGGCGGGAUGUUAAGUCGGCGGUGAAAUUUUGCAGCUCAACUGUAAAAGUGCCUUCGAUACUGGCCUCCUUGAGUGUGGAUGAAGUAGGCGGAAUUUGUGGUGUAGCGGUGAAAUGCUUAGAUAUCACGAGGAACUCCGAUUGCGCAGGCAGCUUACUAAGCCACAACUGACGCUCAUGCACGAAGGCGUGGGGAUCAAACA